AUUGAACGCUAGCGGCAUGCUUAACACAUGCAAGUCGAACGAGUGGCGGACGGGUGAGUAAUAUAUGGGAACGUGCCCAGUAGCGGGGGAUAACUACUGGAAACAGGGCUAAUACCGCAUACUAUCGGAUCAGCCCAUAUGGGAUUAGCUAGUUGGUGGGGUAAAGGCUCACCAAGGCGACGAUCCCUAGCUGGUCUGAGAGGAGGACCAGCCACACUGGGACUGAGACACGGCCCAGACUCCUACGGGAGGCAGCAGUGGGGAAUAUUGGACAAUGGGGGAAAGCCUGAUGCAGCCAUGCCGCGUGUAUGAUGAAGGCCUUCGGGUUGUAAAGUACUUUUAGCGGGGAAGCGGUAUCUGCAGAAUAAGCACCGGCUAACUACGUGCCAGCAGCCGCGGUAAUAC
rnacentral:rRNA from 1 species